AAGUAUUAAACAAGAAUUAUAACUAUACAUUGGAAGCGAGCAAUGCAAACUGUAAAAAAGUCCAUGACGAAUGAUAUGAAUAACUGACGAGCGACCCGUAAGUCUUCAUAAUAAAGUGGAUAUUUUUUAAAAGCAGCUGAUAAGCUUAGAAUUAAGACCCAUAAGGAAGAGUAUAAAAACCAACUUACAACGGAACUUGAAUAGACAAAAUUUCCCUUUUUUUAUGUAUUUAUAAAUAAUUGGCAUUGUCAAGAAGCAUCAUUACUUAUACUGCCGCUACUUCGAGUUCUUCGAAGAUUUGUGAACAUACUUGACUCAGACGUGGACGGGCUAACAAGAGGCAGUUGUGCACUAUGAGGCUUUUCAGGGAAAAGCAAAUUACCUUCAGAUUUCCUUUUGGAUUGUUUCAAGGAUGACGAUUGAUAGGGACCUUGACUAGAAUUUUUACGAAUAAUUUGUUGAUAUUCUGAAAGCUGAAAAAUCAAAGACAUGUUGGGACCUAUCCAUGGAGAUCGUUCUUUAACGUACUCAUAAGCAUCAGAAACAUUUAGGUUUAAUGUCUUCAUUAUAAACGCGAUCAUCAAACAAGCAGAGCGAGAAAUGCCCAUUUGACAAUUAAUUAAAACCUUUUUGUUAAGUUGCAUGGCAUUGUAAGCUACAAAAGAAACAAGCUUAUCAAGUUCCAAAGCAAACUGUGUAUCAUGAUCCCAAUGAAUGUGAACAUAUUCGAUGUGAUCAAAUACUUGAAUGUCCAGGUUAUGUUUAGAAUCUCUAUAAUGACGGCCAUCAGUGCGAAAUGGAUGCAAAACUUCCUUCGCCACGUUUAUAACAACAUCAAAAGAUUGAAUAAUGGGCAUAGUAGGUUUGGCAUAUAAGUAAAUAUUUGGGGGAUAGAUACAAACAGGGCCAUUGGGGUACGGCUGAUUAGAAUUGGGUUUAGAUGCUUUCGGGAAAGAUGGAGGGACAGGACACGGA